rnacentral:rRNA from 1 species
GUGGGGAAUUUUGGACAAUGGGCGCAAGCCUGAUCCAGCCAUGCCGCGUGAGUGAAGAAGGCCUUCGGGUUGUAAAGCUCUUUCGGCCGGGAAGAAAUCGGCGACUCUAACAUAGUCGCUGGAUGACGGUACCGGACUAAGAAGCACCGGCUAACUACGUGCCAGCAGCCGCGGUAAUACGUAGGGUGCGAGCGUUAAUCGGAAUUACUGGGCGUAAAGCGUGCGCAGGCGGUUUUGUAAGACAGAUGUGAAAUCCCCGGGCUUAACCUGGGAACUGCGUUUGUGACUGCAAGGCUAGAGUACGGCAGAGGGGGGUGGAAUUCCUGGUGUAGCAGUGAAAUGCGUAGAUAUCAGGAGGAACACCGAUGGCGAAGGCAGCCCCCUGGGCCUGUACUGACGCUCAUGCACGAAAGCGUGGGGAGCAAACAGGAUUAGAUACCCCGGUAGUCC